UACGGUAGGGGGCAAGCGUUGUCCGGAAUCAUUGGGCGUAAAGAGCGUGUAGGCGGCCCGAUAAGUCCGCCGUGAAAGUCCAGGGCUCAACCCUGGAAUGCCGGUGGAAACUGUCGGGCUGGAGUCCGGAAGAGGCGAGUGGAAUUCCUGGUGUAGCGGUGAAAUGCGCAGAUAUCAGGAGGAACACCAAUGGCGAAGGCAGCUCGCUGGGACGGUACUGACGCUGGAGACGCGAAAAGCGUGGGGAGCAAACAGG
rnacentral:rRNA from 1 species